rnacentral:rRNA from 1 species
UACGAAGGGGGCUAGCGUUGUUCGGAAUUACUGGGCGUAAAGCGCACGUAGGCGGAUCGAUCAGUCAGGGGUGAAAUCCUGGAGCUCAACUCCAGAACUGCCCUUGAUACUGGCGGUCUCGAGUCCGGGAGAGGUGAGUGGAACUGCGAGUGUAGAGGUGAAAUUCGUAGAUAUUCGCAAGAACACCAGUGGCGAAGGCGGCUCACUGGCCCGGUACUGACGCUGAGGUGCGAAAGCGUGGGGAGCAAACAGGG